UACGUAGGGUGCGAGCGUUGUUCGGAAUUACUGGGCGUAAAGGGCGCGUAGGCGGCCCGUCAAGUCCCGUGUGAAAGCCCCCGGCUCAACCGGGGAACGGCGCGGGAAACUAGCAGGCUUGAGUUCGGGAGAGGGAAGCGGAAUUCCGGGUGUAGCGGUGAAAUGCGCAGAUAUCCGGAGGAACACCGGUGGCGAAGGCGGCUUCCUGGACCGACACUGACGCUGAGGCGCGAAAGCUAGGGGAGCAAACGGG
rnacentral:rRNA from 1 species